GACGAACGCUGGCGGCGUGCUUAACACAUGCAAGUCGAACGGACAGGCCCUGCUUUUGUGGGUUGCUCGAGUGGCGCACGGGUGAGUAACACGUGAGUAACCUGCCCUUGACUUUCUGAUAACUUCAGGAAACUGCGUCUAUUACCGGAUAGGAGCUCCUGCUGCAUGGUGGUGGUUGGAAAGUUUCGGCGGUUGGGGAUGUACUCGCGGCUUAUCAGCUUGUUGGUGGGGUAGUGGCCUACGAAGGCUUUGACGGGUAGCCGGCCUGAGAGGGUGAACGGGCACAUUGGGACUGAGAGACGGACCAGAAGCGUACGGGAGGCAGCAGGGGGGAAUAUUGCACAAUGGGCGGAAGCCUGAGGCAGCAACGCCGCGUGCGGGAUGACGGCCUACGGGUUGUAAACAGCUGUCGACUGUGACGAAGAGUGAGUGACGGUAAUGGGUAAAGAAGCACCGGCUAACUACGUG
rnacentral:rRNA from 1 species